rnacentral:rRNA from 1 species
GACGAACGCUGGCGGCGUGCUUAACACAUGCAAGUCGAACGGAAAGGCCCUGCUUUUGUGGGGUGCUCGAGUGGCGAACGGGUGAGUAACACGUGAGUAACCUGCCCUUGACUUUGGGAUAACUUCAGGAAACUGGGGCUAAUACCGGAUAGGAGCUCCUGCUGCAUGGUGGGGGCUGGAAAGUUUCGGCGGUUGGGGAUGGACUCGCGGCUUAUCAGCUUGUUGGUGGGGUAGUGGCUUACCAAGGCUUUGACGGGUAGCCGGCCUGAGAGGGUGACCGGCCACAUUGGGACUGAGAUACGGCCCAGACUCCUACGGGAGGCAGCAGUGGGGAAUAUUGCACAAUGGGCGGAAGCCUGAUGCGGCAACGCCGCGUGCGGGAUGACGGCCUUCGGGUUGUAAACCGCUUUCGCCUGUGACGAAGCGUGAGUGACGGUAAUGGGUAAAGAAGCACCGGCUAACUACGUG